ACACACACACACACACACACACACACACACACACACACACACACACACACAGACACACGCCUAUUUCCCAUGGCAGUGUGGAUAACCUGUGUCCUUCCCUAUGAGGAUGCAGAAGAGGAGAGACUUUCUGAAACUCUGCAACUUUAUUUACGCGCAGUCUACUGAAAGCUGGGGAGAAUUUUUUUUAGGAGGACGCAGGAUCACGAGAAUGUCUCGGAGCAGUCUCAUCACCUCUGAGAACGACAUUGACAUAGGACUGGAAUUAACAGGGGACGAGGAUGAUGUUUCCACUUUGCAAGAGGGACAGGAGAGAAAAAGACACAGAGGAAGAAGAAAGGCUGGUGAAAGAGAGAAGAAGAAGAGACCACGAAGGAACAGAGAAGCAUCUGCAGCAGGAGAGGCCAAAGAGGAGGAAUCACAGGCCCAGCCUCAAAAAGGAAAGAGGGGCAGGAGAAGGAGAGAAAGGACUGAAGCAGAAGAAGCAGAAGGUAACCAGAGGGGUGAGGAGAAGCAUGCUAAAAUAAAAAGUGGUAAGGCAGAAAAAACGAGGAAGAAUGUAAGAAAUGAGAAAACACAAAAAAAAGA